rnacentral:rRNA from 1 species
UGCGUAGGCGGUUUGGAAAGUCAGGUGUGAAAUCCUACAGCUUAACUGUAGAACUGCACUUGAAACUUCCAGACUAGAAUACUGAAGGGGCAGAUGGAAUUAGUGGUGUAGGGGUAAAAUCCGUAGAUAUCACUAGGAAUACCGAAAGCGAAAGCGAUCUGCUGGGAAGUUAUUGACGCUGAGGCACGAAAGCGUGGGGAGCAAACAGGAUUAGAUACCCUGGUAGUCC